UUUCCGUAGGUGAACCUGCGGAAGGAUCAUUCAUAAUAAGUGUUCUACUGCACUUUUUAAAAAUAGUACUCACCUUGUGUGCAAUGUUGUGUUUCUUUUCGGAGAAACACCUACACCAACCUAUAACCUUGAACCACUUUGUCUGAAAAACUAUUAUGAAUACUUAAUUCAAAAUACAACUUUCAACAACGGAUCUCUUGGCUCUCGCGUCGAUGAAGAACGCAGC
rnacentral:misc_RNA from 1 species